rnacentral:rRNA from 1 species
UACGUAGGGUGCGAGCGUUAAUCGGAAUUCCUGGGCGUAAAGCGUGCGCAGGCGGUGAUGUAAGUCAGGUGUGAAAUCCCCGGGCUUAACCUGGGAACUGCAUUUGUGACUGCAUCGCUGGAGUGCGGCAGAGGGGGAUGGAAUUCCGCGUGUAGCAGUGAAAUGCGUAGAUAUGCGGAGGAACACCGAUGGCGAAGGCAAUCCCCUGGGCCUGCACUGACGCUCAUGCACGAAAGCGUGGGGAGCAAACAGG